rnacentral:lncRNA from 1 species
AUGGAGACCCCAAAAGUGGUGGAGGUCCCAGAGGUGAUGGAGACCCCAAAAGUGGUGGAGGUCCCAGAGGUGAUGGAGACCCCAAAAGUGAUGGAGGCCCUGGAGAUGGUGGAGACCCCAAAUGUGGUGGAGGCCCAGCUGGAGACCGACCCUGAUGUGGAUCUGGAGGCCGCAGCCAGCACCCCACAGCCCCCCUGUGCCGGGGAGACCAAAGACCCCCAACCCCAUGACCACGAGGGGGACGCCCCCACCCUGCCCACCACCAACGGCGCCCACGAGGUUGAGGCCACCGUGGCGGUGGUGGAGGCCCCGGAGCCUCCGUGCCCACCCCAAGAAGGUGACCCCGAGGACGAGGCCGGCAGGACGGCCCCCACCCCAAAUGAGGACGCCCCUGAGCUGCAGGACGGGAUCACGGAGGAGACCCCGGAGCAGGAGGAGGCCGUUGAGGAGGUCGAGGCCCUCCAGGAGGACGGGGAGGCCGCGGGCAGCGAGUCCCCAUCGCCGGGUGAUGGUGACGGUGACAGCGCCGCCACCGAGGAGCCGGGGGACGAGGACGAGGGGGGGGACGCGGAGGACCCCGAGGAAGCCUCCGGCGAGGACCUGGAGCCGGCCUCAAGCAAGGUGGAGGCCGAGUGGGACUGCCACCGCCUCCUCCUCUUCCUCAUCUUCCUCCUCCUCCUCCGAGGACUCCUCUCCCGAGCCCUUGGACACCUCGCGCUCCCGCACCGACUCCAGCUUCUUCACCGCCCCCGAGGACAGCGCGGGGGAAGGCCUCCAGCCUUCCUCCUCCUCCUCUUCCUCGCUGCCCCCCCGGCCCUGCAUGGCUCUCUGCCUCCUACCCCCGGCCUCCUCCAGCCCCCCCCCGCCUCCGCUGCGUUUCACCGCCUCGGAGCGGGAGGUGUACGUGGGGACCCCCCCGGCCCCCCUCGAACUGCUCCAACCCACCAUCAUCAUCAUCCUCAUCUUCCUCCUCCUCAUCCUCACCGCUCGGUGCCUUGCCGGAGAGCUCGGAGGAUCGCCGGCGCGUGGCCACCAUGCUGCAGGGCGCUUUUGGGGACCUCCCGGCACCGGGGGGGGCGGGACAAAGCCCCCCUCUCGUCGUCCUUGCUGCUGUUACGGAGCCUCCGCAGCCCCCCCAGGCUGAGGCCGAAGGCACCGUCAUCGCCGAGCCUGAACCCAAAGACCCCCAGGAGCCGGGAGAUGCUGGGAGCCCCCCCUGCACCCCUCCAUGGGGUGAGGAGCCCCCGCUGCCCCCCGGUGAAGACCCCGAUGCCAAAGUCCCGGUGGAGGGCGAGCACCCCCCGACACCCCCUAAACAGCAGGAGGAGGAUGAUGAUGAUGAUGAAGAAGAGGUGA